AUCAACCUUUGGAUUUAGGGGGCGCUGACUGACUCUGAAGCUGCGCCUGCCUGCGAAAGACUACCCCAGUGCGUCACUUCCGUUUCCGGUCAAUCACACUCAGGUGAGCCACUGUGAGCCACGCUUCCCGCGAGGACGCUCCACGGCAGGUGUCUAUGGCCGGUUCUUAUUAAGUAAUUUAAUUUAAACGAGCUAAAAGAUGAUCCACGGAGAAGAGGAGAAGAGUGUCGAGAAGAACGAGCUCGGGUGAGGAGGUCCUGCCUGGAGAUCUUAAGUGCUCGUUUGGCUGAAUCUGUACUUCCAAGAAGGAGGAACUCCUCUGCCAACACAAGGCGUGCUCCUUCAUUGGACUGGUCCAUCGGUGGGGUCUGGACCAGGAGGACAGAAGAGCAGUGUGAGAAGAUGGAUGAGCACCAAACAGCAGCUUGUGCAGCUCAUCAGAUCCCAGAGAGCCAAGAGCUGAGGAUCCUGGCUGCAGACUAGAGGUCUCUCCAAGAAGACGACUAAUAUUUACAGGUCCAUACUGUACUCACGAGUGGGCUCAACCAUGGACGCUCUCUGCCACAGGAAGGCGUACCCACCCUGAUGGCGUUCAAAGUGUCCCAUCAGAAACUGGAACAGUGUUACGGCAUCAGAAACGUGUUAAAGGGUCACUUAUCAGCAGGUUGAAGAUCCUGUGAGGAACUUUAUGUUUGUGUGGAUGUGGCACCCCCUUGUGGCCAAAGCAGUACAUUGCAAGUGUGCUGAUUUUCUCCUCCAUGUAUAAUGAACCUUCAUGUUGACUGUUUAGUCUGCUUUUGGAGCUCAUGAAGUAACACCAACAUACAUAACAGGAUGUUUUAUGAAGUAGCCAUAAACUCCUCACAUCAAUAAUGUAAUCCCCCUUGAAAAGAAGUUGCUGCUGAACUUUGUCUCAUCCUUUUGACUUCACAAGGACCGAACCAACCUUUGACUUGUUCAGCGUACACAUGUGACUCCCCUCAUAUUGCCAAACUCACGCUCAAUCCCAUUACUACGGUGUGUACACACUGCUCAGUGUCUAAGCAGAGUAUUUCAUUAGUAACAAAAAGCCGCUGUGUGAAGUUGUCUUUGUCUCUGUAUAUCCAGUAUAUCAGAGUAUUUGUGGAGUGUGUAAAUAAAGGGAUGUUGUUUACAGUA